UGGCGAACGGGUGAGUAACACGUGAGCAACUGCCCCUGACUCUGGGAUAAGCGCUGGAAACGGCGUCUAAUACUGGAUAUGUGACGUGACCGCAUGGUCUGCGUCUGGAAAGAAUUUCGGUUGGGGAUGGGCUCGCGGCCUAUCAGCUUGUUGGUGAGGUAAUGGCUCACCAAGGCGUCACGGGUAGCCGGCCUGAAGGGUGACCGGCCACACUGGGACUGAACACGGCCAACUCCUACGGGAGGCAGCAGUGGGGAAUAUUGCACAAUGGGCGCAAGCCUGAUGCAGCAACGCCGCGUGAGGGACGACGGCCUUCGGGUUGUAAACCUCUUUUAGCAGGGAAGAAGCGAAAGUGACGGUACCUGCAGAAAAAGCGCCGGCUAACUACGUGCCAGCAGCCGCGGUAAUACGUAGUGGCAAGCGUUGUCCGGAUUUAUUGGGCGUAAAGCGAGCGCAGGCGGUUUCUUAAGUCUGAUGUGAAAGCCCCCGGCUCAACCGGGGAGAGUCAUUGGAAACUGGGAGACUUGAGUGCAGAAGAGGAGAGUGGAAUUCCAUGUGUAGCGGUGAAAUGCGUAAUUAUGGAGGAACACCAGUGGCGAA
rnacentral:rRNA from 1 species